CCGAUGCUCAAGUCAGUUCUCUACUUCAACAAGAAUGGAGUGCUCGAAUGGAAAUUUUAGCAGAGUUUCGAGAUACAAAUUAGAGCUUAGAGAAUAACGUAUCUGGGGUCCCCUUUUUAUAGACGGAGGGUGCAACAGACUAAUAGCGACAUUUGUAACCGCCUGGUAGUGGGCCGUUCAGGGCUAGGAGGAGUUUGUUAUGAAGAGUAGUGGAGUGGAGUCGUGGCUAUCACCAUGGCCUGCC
rnacentral:lncRNA from 1 species